GUAUAUUCCUUCUAUUUAUAGUUAAAAAAUUAACUGUAAAGUACCCUCAGGCAGGUGCUUCAGGAGGUAUUCCAGGAGAACGCACUGUCAUCGUAGGAUAUGACAGCCCCAUGCAUGUUACUGCCCAGGAAGACUUUCCAGUGGGACAACAUGCGGAGGUGGAAGACAGUGAUAUUGAUGGUCCUGACCCUGGGUAGGCCUAGGCUAAUAUUUCAAACUACAAUCAGCUGGGACAAAAGCCUUCCUGCAGAAAAGUGGAAUAUGCCCACAACGUGUCUUUAUUAAAGAAAAUCUACAGUCUAUGAGGGAAAAUGGGGGCAUCUAGAUUUUUACUGAAGAGGACGAUUUUAUUCAGCAUACUAAUUUUGGCUCGCAUAUAUUGCUACCCACCACCAUGGGGAGAGGAUUAUGCCUGGAAUAGCAGAGGAUCCAAAAAUAAGAAAUGAAUGAAGAAGUAGGAGAUAAAACAAACAAAAACUUAGCAGAAAGCAGACUGAAAUAAGGCACAAAGUGGAGUGGAAGUUCAAGAAACAGAAAUCCCGAGAAGCUGCUGGAAUCGGUAGGUUUUAGAGUCCUGGCCUAAAGGGCAGGUAAGAUGUCUGGAGAGUUGAUCUGCGGAGUGAGCAGCACAGGCGGAGAGUGAAGAGGUGAGUGAAGGCAAAGGGGCCAAGGGCAGCAUGUCUGUGGGCAAUGGCUUUGGCCAAAUGUAAGAGAGGAUUGAGGAAUGUGAUCAAGAGAUGAACAGGGGAAGGCUGGGGAAAGCCUUGAGUACUGGGGUGAAACACUGAGCUUUUACUUCUUUUUGUCCUGGGAAAUCUGCACUGAGCACAGGAGUCGAGAAUUGGCAGCCGGCUCAAUUCAAACAGUGGAGCCCAUUUAUGAAACCAGCUGACAGUCUGAAAGUCUCCUUAGAGCUGAGCAGAGAAUGCGUGUUGACAGCCUGUGAGAACGACUUUGACUUCCUUUCUGUCAUACAACGGUGCAUCCCAGUUUGUGACAAUGCACGCCCCUAGUCACCCCGCACCCCAGAUGCGCCUUCCCGGUCACAACCCCACUCUGCGCCUUGUCUGUCGCAGUCCCACUCUGCACUUUGUCUGUCGCAGUCCCACUCUGCGCCUUGUCUGUCACAACCCCACUCUGCACCUUGUCUGUCACAGUCCCACUCUGCGCCUUGUCUGUCGCAGUCCCACUCUGCGCCUUGUCUGUCGCAGUCCCACUCUGCGCCUUGUCUGUCGCAGUCCCACUCUGCACCUUGUCACAGCGCACGGGGGCUUUUCCUGCUCCUGGGAGGACCGUGCGCUCGAACACAGCACAGCGCAGCGAACGGAAAGCCUGUUUUUGUCGCGUCCUUGGCAGCGGUUUCGUUUCGGUGAAUUCCCACAAGCAGUUUGACUCUACAGAUGUGAGCGUGGACUUCAUAUGGCUGCAGACCUCAAAAGAAAUCACGGCUUGUUGCCGCGCUUCUGGCAGUGUUUGCAGUGACGGGUCAGUGGAUUCUGCUGUUGCUCUCUGUGCCGUGUCAUUCCAGUAAGAACCUUUUUCCUACAUCGAGUCUUACACUGACUGUCCUACCGCAGUUCUUGCACUUACUAUCGCUGUGCCAUUUGCACGGAUUUAUUUUUCGGGCUACUGGAAGCACACAUGGAACUCUUAUUCAUCUUCUGGAGAAAAACCAGGGUAGGGGCCGCCCGGCCUCGUGUCUGUCCCUGGCGCCGCCACUCAGCCAGUUCCUCAGGCAAGAAACCGGGGGUCAUUCUUGACACUUUCUUUUCCUCGUUCUCCUCAGUUUGAUUUAAAAACAUGAUGACGAUUAUCUACUCCUCAUCACCUCCACGCCCGCUGAAAU